CAGAGACUUGCACUGCGGCUAUGCUUCAUGAGAGCUAUGGGGUUAUGUAGACAAAUGUGAGAUCGUGCCAUAAGCAAAUGACAUCAAGAUCUGAGCACCGUUGCAGACGGCCUCGAGUUAUUUUCCUCUUCAUCUCCUACAAAAUGUAAGUGCGAGCCGAUCAUAUGCAUCCUUCCUAGUGCAGAUUAUUUUUUUAGUUCCUCCAUAUCACUAUGUAAGUCUGUAGUGUUGUACUCCUUAUUUAUGAAAUUUCUCUUCAUACAGGUUGCUUGCAUGGUCAAUUUGGGCAUCGGUUUGUUAAGCAGCAAAAGCUCGCAUGUUGAAUCUACUCAACUCAAGUAUGUUUCCACCAGAAAACUCAAUCGUGUAGUGUAUGGAAUGACAUGUUUAUUUAGUUUCUACUAAUUAGUUUGGAUAACCUCUGAUCAUCCGAUGAAGUAACUGAGAAGAAAUUUUGGUGAUGUUAUUACUUCCCAUUUUUUUAUACCUAUGCAAUUAAUGUUAUUUGUUGCUGGUUUUGCUGUGGCGCCAAGUCUAAAUGAGGGAACCUUGUUUUUAUUCAAAGCAAGAUCCAUGUGUUGACAUAGGAUGGAUUUUGUACAAAAUGCCUAUAAUAUCGAGCUUUUCUAAUAUUCUCUUAACUGAAAAAGGCUGUUGGAUAGAGAGCUUUUAUGAAGAGCAGAAAACUCAUAUAUCAAGUAAUUACAACAUGACAUGCUUCUGGUAGUGCUAACUUCAGCCGUUCAGCGCCUUGUUAUGUAAUACGUGUCGUUAUAUUGGUAGAUGUCAAGUGCUCUUCUCUAUCUCAGUUAUGGUCUGCCUUAGUUUCAGUCUAAGCUAUAUUAAUCAACUAAUUUUGUGGGUAACCUCCUUGUUCGCCUAGGUUUUUUUGGCUACUGUAUCUUCGAACUGACCACUUCUCUUGUAGCAUUUUUCUUCAACACUUCCGGUCUUGUGGCCAUAAACCUCUUUGGUCAUUUUAUGCGAUCUCCUUAUGGCUGCAGUAUCAGUACAUCUUAUUUUGCCACAACUGGCAACUGAGUCUUCAUCUUUAAGCAUUGCAGUUUUUACUUCCGCUUCAACAUGUUUCUUGUUCCCAGCAUACAUCUUUCCUUUCUUGUACACUUAUCUUGGUGUAUUCAUCCUCUGAGCCAUCCGAUAAUAUGAUAGAUCUCUAUCAUUUUAUUUUGUCAUGGCAGAGUCCAUGUGAUGUUUAUGUUUUUUUUCUUCACACCCAUCAUCAUGUACUAUAACCCCAUUAGUAUCGUGUGGUUCUUCUUACAUAGAAACAAAUUGUCAUAUCCUUUUCUGAGGUGAAUCUCUAUUGUUAUUUGUCUGCAAAAUAAAAAUACAUUUCAAAGAUUACACGUGUCUCUAAAGUUUGAGAAGUAGUACUCUGAGAAAAUUAAUCACCCUUUAGCCUCUAUGUUAUGCUUCUUUGUUGCUUUUUUGAACACGACGUCCACUUCAUCAUGCAAAAUUCUGAGAAUCAUAUGUGAGAUGUAUUAGUUAGGAAAAUACAAACACAAUACUUCUUUUGUAAUGGAUAAAGGCAAAUUUUCCUCCUCGGCUUUAUCUUUCAGGUCCAUCAUCUCAAGCCUAUCAUCACACACAAAUGUUCUUUUUACUGCAUAGUUUUUUGUUCUGAAAGUGAGAUUGCCAUCGCUGAACAUGAGCUGAAAAUAAGUGUUUGUCAACAUUAUUAUUAUGUAAUCUUUGGCGCUUCUUCAUAUUUCUCAUCCAGUGAAUUUAGCAAGUCCGAGACAAAUGUAUUGAACAAUUUUUCGGCCUCACCGUCAAAUAAAGUGCAACUUGUAGUAGUCGUACAGUCAUUAAUUUAUUGUCAAAUACGAUAACUAUCAUACGAUUGUUAUUAGUGUAGAGUAAAUGUAAUAGGAAAGAAGUCUUCUUCGAAUAUAUGCUUACCGAGGUGAUACAUCAUCUCGAUAUGUAUCACAACUCUCGUAACAGUACUUGUCAACUUCCUUCUUAUCUAGUUUGUGAAAAUCAUCACAUCACAUAUACCAGCUUUGAAUAUGAUCACUUGUAGCUAUUACUGUGAACACAAAAUCCUAAAAUGAUUUCCCAAAAAUUUAGCAUACUGGAGAAAGUGAAAGACAUAAUUAAGUAGAUAUGCACUAUAACUGAUAUUUACUAAGUUGUCAUUGCAGGUAUUGAGAGUCUGGUUUUCCUCAAAAAGUGGCGAUUUCAUAUCUUAGAAGAAGUCUCGCAUUAGUUCAAAUUUGAACUAAAACCAUAACACUUAUUUUGGAUCGAGGAGUAUGAAUUUGGUAUUGAUUCUUGUGUUGAGUUCCUGCACAUUUGGAGCAAAUCGAGUAUAAUAAUUAUCUUAGAUUGGUGAAUAAAGAUGAGUCAAGAUAAAUUAGCUGAGAAAUAAUAAAAGUUGGUCUUUCAUACCUGUCAACAAUUUCCCAAGUUUAUGGUAUAUCUAGAUCUGUAUAGAUUCUUAUGACACUUGACUUUAAGCAUAAUCAUGUUUAAUCAAAGUAAAUUCUGUUAGACAUAUUUUUAUAAGGGAGAAGUAUAUUUUUUGUCCCUAAACUCUUUUGAAAGUAUAGAAAUAGUCCUUGAAUUCAAAAAUCAGCAAAACUUAGUCCCUCAACUUUUCAAACCGGAUUAGUUUAGUCUCUCAUACCGCUUCGAGUGGUUUCCAUCUGAUGUGGACAUGGUUUUGACCAAAAACUUGAAACGUCACCUAGGCUUGACCGCCACGUCAGUCCAUGUCAUUUUUUUCAAAGCACAGUGCAUGUCACCAAGGGCCCCAGUACUACCAGGCGCGGCGAGUUCGGAUGAGAAGCCGGACAGCGUCGUCCAUGACGGUCAUGCGGCGGAGACAAAGUGCUCGAGCGGCCAGAGGAGCUCGGCGACCCAGGGCGUGGCGUUGGCAGACGAGUUACUUGGCCUCCGUGUUGCACGGGCCGUCGAGCUGCAGCCUGCGCCCAGCGCGACGCCGCUGACCUUUUGGACAGGAGGCCUGAGCAGGAGGAGGAGCUCGAGGCCGCGAGCUCGGACAAGCCCUCCGCGGGCACCUCCACUGACCGCGUUGGUCAUGCAUCCGAUCGUAUGCAUCAGGGUGUAAGGUGCAGUCUAGGGAGCAACACAUCACGUGCGUGUGUAUUCUGGGCGAGAUCGGAUCAGCAUGUUCGUUGUGUUUGGCCUGCAUCUCCUGCGGGCCGAAUCAAUACGUAUGUUCACGUAUACCUACGUGUUUUGCCGGCGGCUAGAAUCAAUCCAGCAGCUAGUCUGCACUUCGUGUUCCUUUUUGGAGCACGCCUGCCUCACAGGAGACCCAAGGCCGCGCCCUGGUGCACCAGCUCAUUGCAGGAGCUCGCGAUCCCUGCUCGCGUGGUGCCCCUCCAUCCAUCCUAGCUAUGGUCAUGUCAAGCCCAACCACAACAUGAAUGAAGAACGGUAAGUCCGUCAGUGCAGACCUUGGUUUUAUGAGGACCCGCGCGAGCGUGCAGACUUGAGCCACCAGCGGUGGCAGCGACACGAGCAAAAGAGCAGCUUUGGGAGCUUCACGCCGUUGACCCUGCCUCCAGCACUCUAACAGACCAAGGGAAUACACAGGCCAUCGUUAAUCAGCCUCAUCAUGGACCACCCGGGCCGACGCGCACCGAGCCGCACCACGCCGGCUGCAGGCGCAGCAAUAUUUGCCCGUUGCACACACUGCCGGGCGCCGUCGACACGCACUGCCCGCUCGCUGAGCAUUAUACCGACCACCUUUCGUGCACGUAUCCGAGUCAAAAACGACACCGCGUCAGCAGAAAAUCACCCUAAGCAAGACGAGGGAUUAAACUUAUCCGGUUUUGAAAGUUGAGGGACUAAACUUAUCUGGUUUUGAAAAUUGAGGGACUAAGUUUUGCUGGUUUCGGAGUCGAGGGACCAUUGCUAUACUUUCGAAAGAGUUGAAGGACGAAAAAUAUACUUAUCCCUUUUUAUAAUUAAUAGAAGAGCUUGUAACAUUAAUGAACUUACCAUUGAACUUCUACACCAGUGAUGAGAAAUGGUUGUGCAAUAUGGACUUAAUCUUAUAUUAGAAUUCAAUCUGGCUGAAAUAUGAAGGUUCGGGGUUAUUUCUUUUUAUUAUUGAUUCCACAUGCUCCAUUUGGGUUGGUAGUCCAAUGACGUCUCUAAAAGCGGAGUUAAUUAUUUGAAAGUUUCAUCUAAUUUUUUUUCCUUUGUAGCAAACUCGAAGUAGUAAACUGGGUAACCUUCUGAUGAUCCUCUCACCUCCGGCGAGCUCCGGCUACCCUGGACCGGGCGCUGCCGAUGCAAGCUCCCCACGCGCCGCUGCCCUGUCUCCAUCCCAUCCUCCCUCUCCCUCCCCCCUCUCCCUCCCUUUCCCUUCCUCCCUCCUUGUGCAGAGAUCCGCCGCCGCUGCCUUCUUCUUCGCAGGGCCUCCGGCUACCCUGGACCGGGCGCUGCCGAUGCUAGCUCCCCACGCGCCGCUGCCCUAUCUCCAUCCCAUCCUCCCUCUCCCUCCCCCUCUCCCUCCCUUUCCCUUCCUCCCUCCUUGUGCAGAGAUCCGCCGCCACUGCCUUCUUCUUCGCAGGGCCAAUGGCCUCCUCGGGCUCAACCUCCAUGUCCAGGAGCUUUGCCAAGAUCUCUGUGCCCUCCGCGCUGAUCGAAUUGAUGCGGCACGCCUUCAUUAGUCCGCGCCAUUGCUGUCUUCCUUGCCUCCGGCUAGCCGCCAUCUUGCCCCGAUCUGCCACCGUGGGCCGCCGUGUUCCCGUGCACUGCCGUGUUCGCCACCGUGCGCCCCCUCUGCCUCGCUCCCGUGCGGCGCCGUGUUUGCCACCGUGCGUCCCCUCUGCCUCGCUCCCGUGCGCCGCUGUGUUCGCCGUCGUGCGUCCUCGCUUGGACCAGCGCCGGCGCCGCCCAAUUUCUGCCGGCCAAACCGCUGCCAGUGGCCCCACCACCACGUGGGGCUGUUAGAUUAGGGUUAAACUUUUUUUGCGAGUUAGAUUAGGGUUAAUCCAUGAUGUGGGUAUUAAUUAGUUAAUUAAUCUGUUAAUGGCAUAUUAAAUCAAUCUAAAAUAAUCAAUCCAAAAUAACUAACCUAUCACAAGUGGACCCAUUCCCUUGUUGACCCAGUCAACUGCUGACCAUUUGACCUUGACAGUGGGUCCUACAUGUCGGUGACAAAAGGAGGCAGGGGCAAAAUGUCCAGAAAACAUCAAGUAAACGGUCAAACCCCUUUGACCUAAUGGAAACAGAAUAGAAGGGCAAUUAUGUAAGGGGAACUAACGGCGGAGGGGCAUUUUUGAGCAGGCUUUGGAAUUAGGGGUAUAUCUGAGUAGGUGGUUCGAGUUAGGGACAGAAAUGCAAAUGGCCCUAUUAUCUAUGGAUUCAUUCGAUUUACCGAUUAUGUGUAUGUUUAAGCACUUUUCAGUUUGCAUUUGGCCAUCCAUCUUUUUACUCGUAUCAUAGUAUCUUGGUACAAUUUGCAUUCUUUUCACACAAAAAAGGGUACAAUUUGCAUUUGAUCAGUCGGUUUCUCACCUCAUAGUUUUUCUUGUACACUUCGGCUUCUGAUCCUGAAUGUGCCAUCCGACUCUUCAUAUUCGAAACUACUUCAUUGAUGAUGGUUGUGCCCGACCUUUGUAUGAUAGGUAAAUCGAGUGGCUGAUGCCCUUUUUAAACAUAUGCAUGUUCGGCUAGAUUUAAGCAUCGUCUGAGAAUCGUGCGAUUUCUGUCGUGUGUAUAACACCACUCCUUCAUUUUUUUUGAGCGAAACGGCUACCUAGACAACAGUGCUGCCCGAUCUAUGCAUGACGUGCUAAUCCAGCCGCUGGUGCCCUUCUCAAUCAUGUGCAUGUCAAACCUCAACAAAAUAAAUCAUGUGCAUGUCCGGCUGGAUUUAAGUUCGUGUGUAUAGCACGGCUGUUUUUUUUAGGGAAAGCACGGCUGUUUUUUGAGUUGUGCUCUUCAUCCGGAAGAUAAUGUUGGAAAUAUGCCCUAGAGGCAAUAAUAAAAGUGUUAUUAUUAUAUUUCCUUAUUCAUGAUAAUUGUCUUUUAUUCAUGCUAUAACUGUAUUAUCCGAAAAUCGUAAUACACGUGUGAAUACAUAGACCACAAUAUGUCCCUAGUGAGCCUCUAGUUGACUAGCUCAUUGUGAUCAACAGAUAGUCAUGGUUUCCUGGCUAUGGACAUUGGAUGUCGUUGAUAACGGGAUCACAUCAUUAGGAGAAUGAUGUGAUGGACAAGACCCAAUCCUAAGCCUAGCACAAAGAUCGUGUAGUUCGUUUGCUAGAGCUUUGCCAAUGUCAAGUAUCUCUUCCUUUGACCAUGAGAGCGUGUAACUCCUGGAUACCGUAGGAGUGCUUUGGGUGUAUCAAACGUCACAACGUAACUGGGUGACUAUAAAGGUGCACUACAGGUAUCUCCGAAAGUAUCUUUUGUUUUAUGCGGAUCGAGACUGGGAUUUGUCACUCCGUGUAAACGGAGAGGUAUCUCUGGGCCCACUCGGUAGGACAUCAUCAUAUGCGCAAUGUGACCAAGGAGUUGAUCACGGGAUGAUGUGUUACGGAACGAGUAAAGUGACUUGCCGGUAACGAGAUUGAACAAGGUAUUGGAUACCGACGAUCGAAUCUCGGGCAAGUAACACACCGAUAGACAAAGGGAAUUGAAUACGGGAUUGAUUAAGUCCUUGACAUCGUGGUUCAUCCGAUGAGAUCAUCGUGGAACAUGUGGGAGCCAUCAUGGGUAUCCAGAUCCCGCUGUUGGUUAUUGACCGGAGAACGUCUCGGUCAUGUCUGCAUGUCUCCCGAACCCGUAGGGUCUACACACUUAAGGUUCGAUGACGCUAGGGUUAUAAAGGAAGCUUGUAUGUGGUUACCGAAUGUUGUUCGGAGUCCCGGAUGAGAUCCUGGACGUCACGAGGAGUUCCGGAAUGGUCCAGAGGUAAAGAUUUAUAUAUGGGAAGUCCUAUUUUGGCCACCGAAAAAUGUUCGGGAUUUUUCGGUAUUGUACCGGGAAGGUUCUAGAAGGUUCCGGAGUGGGGCCCACCUGCAUGGGGGGACCCACAUGAACUUGGGUAGUGGGGGUAAGGCCCCACACCCCUAGUCAAGGCGCACCAAGAUCCCCCUUAGAAGGAAUAAGAUCAUAUCCCGAAGGGAUAAGAUCAAGAUCCCUAAAAAGGGGGAUAACAAUCGGUGGGGAAGGAAAUGAUGGGAUUUCUUUCGUCCCACCUUGGCCAACGCCCCAAUGGACUUGGAGGGCAAGAAACCAGCCCCUCCACCCCUAUAUAUAGUGGGGAGACGCAUGGGAGCUUCAGACGAAGUUCUGGCGCAGCCCUCCCCCUCUCCCAAGUCGUCCUCCUCUCCCGUGGUGCUUGGCGAAGCCCUGCAGGAUUGCCACGCUCCUCCACCACCACCACGCCGUUGUGCUGCUACUGGAUGGAGUCUUCCUCAACCUCUCCCUCUCUCCUUGCUGGAUCAAGGCGUGGGAUACGUCACCGGGCUGUACGUGUGUUGAACGCGGAGGUGUCGUGCGUUCGGCACUUGAUCAUCGGUGAUUUGAAUCACGACGAGUACGACUUCAUCAACCCCGUUCACUUGAACGCUUCCGCUUAGUGAUCUACAAGGGUAUGUAGAUGCACUCACUUUCUACUCGUUGCUGGUCUCUCCAUAGAUAGAUCUUGGUGAUACGUAGGAAAAUUUUUGAAUUUCUGCUACGUUCCCCAACAGUGGCAUCAUGAGCUAGGUCUAUUGCGUAGAUUCUUUGCACGAGUAGAACACAAAGUAGUUGUGGGCGUUGAUGUUGUUCAAUAUGCUUACCGUUACUAGUCCAAUCUUGUUUCGACGGUAUUGUGGGAUGAAGCGGCCCGGACCGACCUUACACGUACUCUUACGUGAGACAGGUUCCACCGAUUGACAUGCACUUGGUGCAUAAGGUGGCUAGCGGGUGCCAGUCUCUCCCACUUUAGUCGGAACGGAUUCGAUGAAAAGGGUCCUUAUGAAGGGUAAAUAGCAAUUGGCAUAUCACGUUGUGGUUUUGCGUAGGUAAGAAACGUUCUUGCUAGAAACCCAUAGCAGCCACGUAAAACAUGCAAACAACAAUUAGAGGACAUCUAACUUGUUUUUGCAGGGUAUGCUAUGUGAUGUGAUAUGGCCAAAAGGAUGUGAUGAAUGAUAUAUGUGAUGUAUGAGAUUGAUCAUGUUCUUGUAAUAGGAUUCACGACUUGCAUGUCGAUGAGUAUGACAACCGGCAGGAGCCAUAGGAGUUGUCUUUAUUUAUUGUAUGACAUGCGUGUCAUUGAAGAACGCCAUGUAAACUACUUUACUUUAUUGCUAAACGCAUUAGUCAUAGAAGUAGAAGUAGUCGUUGGCGUGACAACUUCAUGAAGACACGAUGAUGGAGAUCAUGAUGAUGGAGAUCAUGGUGUCAUGCCGGUGACAAGAUGAUCAUGGAGCCCCGAAGAUGAAGAUCAAAGGAGCUAUAUGAUAUUGGCCAUAUCAUGUCACUACUCUAUUUGAUUGCAUGUGAUGUUUAUCAUGUUUAUGCAUCUUGUUUGCUUAGAACGACGGUAGUAAAUAAGAUGAUCCCUUACAACAAUUUCAAGAAGUGUUCUCCCCUAACUGUGCACCGUUGCUACAGUUCGUCGCUUCUAAGCACCACGUGAUGAUCGGGUGUGAUGGAUUUCUUACGUUCACAUACAACGGGUGUAAGACAGUUUUACACAGCGAAAACACUUAGGGUUAACUUGACGAGCCUAGCAUGUACAGACAUGGCCUCGGAACACGGAGACCGAAAGGUCGAGCAUGAGUCGUAUAGUAGAUACGAUCAACAUGAAGAUGUUCACCGAUGAUGACUAGUCCGUCUCACGUGAUGAUCGGACACGGCCUAGUUGACUCGGAUCAUGUAAUCACUUAGAUGACCAGAGGGAUGUCUAUCUGAGUGGGAGUUCAUAAGAUGAACUUAAUUAUCCUGAACAUAGUCAAAAGACCUUUUGCAAAUUAUGUCGUAGCUCGCGCUUUAGUUCUACUGUUUUAGAUAUGUUCCUAGAGAAAAUAUAGUUGAAAGUUGAUAGUAGCGAUUAUGCGAACAAUAGAAAGCUUAUGUCCUUAAUGCACUGCUCAGUGUGCUGAACCCCAAACGUCGUUUGUGGAUGUUUCGAACAUCGAACAUACACGUUUUGAUAACUACGUGAUAGUUCAGUUAAAUGGUUUAAGUAGAGGCACCAAAGACGUUUUCGAAACAUCGCGGAACAUAUGAGAUGUUUCGAGGGCUGAAAUUGGGAUUUCAGGCUCGUGCUCACGUCAAGAGGUAUAAGACCUCCGACGAUUCUCUUAGCCUGCAAACUAAGGGAGAAAAUCUCAAUCGUUGAGCUUGUGCUCAGAUUGUCUGAGUGCAACAAUCACUUGAAUUGAGUGGGAGUUGAUCUUCCAAAUGAGAUAGUGAUGUUUCUCCAAAGUCAUUGCCACCGAGCUGCUAGAGCUUCGUGAUGAACUAUAACAUAUCAGGGAUAAAUAAGAUGAUCCUUGAGGUAUUCAUGAUGUUUGACACCGCGAAAGUAGAAAUCAAGAAUGAGAAUCAAUUGUUGAUGGUUGGUGAAACCACUAGUUUCAAGAAGGGCAAGGGCAAGAAGGGAUACUUCAUGAAACGGCAAAUCAGCUGCUGCUCCAGUGAAGAAACCCAAGGUUGAACCCAAACCCGAGACUAAGUGCUUCUGUAAUAAGGGGAACAGUCACUAGAGCAGAAUUACCCUAGAUACUUGGUAGAUGAGAAGGCUGGCAAGGUCGAUAGAAGUAUAUUGGAUAUACAUUAUGUUAAUGUGUACUUUACUAGUACUCCUAGUAGCACCAGGGUAUAAGAUACCGGUUCGGUUGCUAAGUGUUAGUAACUCGAAAUAAAAGCUACGACAUAAACGGAGACUAGCUAAAGGUGAGCUGACGAUAUGUGUUGGAAGUGUUUCCAAUGUUGAUAUGAUCAAGCAUCGCACGCUCCCUCUACCAUCGAGAUUUGGUGUUUGCGUUGAGCAUAGACAUGAUUGGAUUAUGUCUAUCGCAAUACGGUUAUUCAUUUAAAGAGAAUAAUGGUUACUCUAUUUAUUUGAAUAUAAUACCUUCAAUGGUCUUGCACCUAAAAUGAAUGGUUUAUUGAAUCUCAAUCGUAGUGAUACACAUUUUCAUGCCAAAAGAUAUAAGAUAGUAAUGAUAGUACCACUUACUUGUGGCACUGCCAUGUAAGUCAUAAUGGUAUAAAACGCAUGAAGAAGCUCCAUGUUGAUGGAUCUUUGGACUCACUCGUUUUUGAAAAGUUUGAGACAUGUGAACCAUGUCUAUUAGUGUAUAUGCAUGAAGAAACUCCAUGCAAAUGGACCGUUUGGACUCACUUGAUUUUGAAUCACUUGAGAUAUGCAAAUCAUACCACAUGGGCAAGAUGACUGAAAAGCCUCGUUUUCAGUAAGAUGGAACAAGAUAGCAACUUGUUGGAAGUAACACAUUUUGAUGUGUCCAAUCCAAUGAGUGUUGAGGCAUGCAGUCAAUAUCGUUAUGAUCUUACUUCACAGAUGAUUCGAGUAGAUGUUGAGAAUAUUUACUUGAUGAAACACAAGUCUGAAUUAUUGAAUGGUUCAAGUAAUUUCAGAGUGAAGUAGAAGAUCAUUGUGACAAGAGGAUAAAAUGUCUAUGAUAUGAUCAUAGAGAUGAAUAUCUAAGUUACGAGUUUUGGCACACAAUUAAGACAUUGUGGAAAUUGUUUCGCAAUUAAUACCGCCUGGAACACCAUAGUGUGAUGGUGUGUCCGAACAUCAUAGUUGCACCCUAUUGGAUAUGGUGCGUACCAUGAUGUCUCUUAUCGAAUUACCACUAUUGUCCAUGGGUUAGGCAUUAGAGACAACCACAUUCACUUUAAAUAGGGCACCACGUAAUUCCGUUGAGAUGACACCGUAUGAAUUAUGGUUUAGAGAAACCUAAGUUGUCGUUUCUUAAAAGUUUGGGGCUGCGACGCUUAUAUGAAAAAGUUUCAGGUUGAUAAGCUCGAACCCAAAGCGGAUAAAAUGCAUCUUCAUAGGAAACCCAAAACAGUUGGGUAUACCUCCUAAUUCAGAUCCGAAAGCAAUAUGGAUUGUUUCUUGAAUCGGGUCCUUUCUCGAGGAAAAGUUUCUCUCGAAAGAAUUGAGUGGGAGGAUGGUGGAAACUUGAUGAGGUUAUUGAACCGUCUCUUCAACUAGUGUGUGGCAGGGCACAGGAAGUUGUUCCUGUGGCACCUACACCAAUUGAAGUGGAAGCUUGUGAUGUUGAUCAUGAAACUUCGGAUCAAGUCACUACCAAACCUCGUGGGAUGACAAGGAUACGUACUACAUCAGAGUGGUACGUAAUCUUGUCUUGGAAGUCAUGUUGCUGGACAACAAUGAACCUACGAGCUAUGGAGAAGCAAUGGUGGGCCCGGAUUCUGAUAAAUGGCUCGAGGCCAUAAAAUCCGAGAACGGAUCCAUGACUUUGGAAGAAAUACUUGAUGGUCAUAAGGCCAUUGGGUACGGAUGGAUUUUAAAAGGAAGACAGACAAUGAUGGUAAGAAUUACCAUUAAGAAAGCUCGACUUGUCGUUAAGAUAUUUUCCGACAAGUUCAAGGAGUUGAUUACGGUGAGGUUUUCUCACUCGUAGCGAUGCUAAGAGUCUGUUGGAAUUGGAUUAGUAGUUACUGCAUGAUUGAUGAAAUCUUGCAGAUAGGAUGUCAAAACAUUGUUUCCUCGACGUUAUACUUGAGGAAAGGUUGUAUGUGAUACAACCGGAAGGUUUUGUCAAUCCCAAAAGAUGCUAAUAAGUAUGCAAAGCUCCAGCAAUCCUUCUAAGGACUGGAGUGAGCAUCUCGGAGUUGGAAUGUGUGCUUUGAUGAUGAUCAAAGAUUUUGGGUUUGUACAAAGUUUACGAGAAACUUGUAUUUCCAAAGAAGUGAGUGGGAGCACUAUAGAAUUUCUGAUGAGUAUAUGUUGUUGACAUAUUGUUGAUCAGAAAUGACGUAGAAUUUCUGGAAAGCAUAUAGGGUUAUUUUGAAAGUGUUUUUCAAUGGAAAGCCUGGAUUAAGCUACUUGAACAUUGAGCAUCAAGAUCUAUAAGGAUAGAUCAAAUUGCUUAAUAAUACUUUCAAAUGAGCACAUACCUUGACAUGAUCUUGAAGGUGUUCAAGAUGGACCAGUCAAAGAAGGAGUUCUUGCCUGAGGUGUAAGGUAUGAAGUUAGGACUUAAAGCUCGACCACGGCAGAAAAGAGAGAAAGGACGAAGGUUGUCCCCUAUACUUUAGACGUAGGCUCUACAGUAUGCCAUGCUGAGUACCGCACCUGAAGUGUGCCUUGCCAUGAGUCAGUCAAGGGGUACAAGAGUGAUCCAAGAAUGGAUCACAAGACAGCGGUCAAAGUUAUCCUUAGAAAUUAGUGGACUAAGGAAUUUUUCUCGAUUAUGGAGGUGGUAAAAGAGUUCGUCGUAAAGGGUUACGUCGAUGCAAGCUUGACACCUAUCCGGAUAGCUCUGAGUAGAGAUACAGGAUACAUAUAAUGGAGCAACAAUUUAGUAUAGCUCCAAGUAGAACAGUUAUUUGGAUUAGCUCCAAAUAGAGCGUGGUAGCUACAUCUAGUAGAUGACAUAGAGAUUUGUAAAACACACACGGAUCUGAAAGGUUCGGACCCGUUGACUAAAACCUCUCUCACAAGCAACAUGAUCAAACCUAAAACUCAUUAAGUAUUAAUCACAUGGUGAUGUGAACUAGACUACUGAUUCUAGUAAACUCUUGGGUGUUAGUCACAUGGCGAUGUGACCUGUGAGUGUUAAUCACAUGGCGAUGUGAACUAGAUUAUUGACUCUAGUGCAAGUGGGAGACUGUUGGAAAUAUGCCCUAGAGGCAAUAAUAAAAGUGUUAUUAUUAUAUUUCCUUGUUCAUGAUAAUUGUCUUUUAUUCAUGCUAUAAAUGUAUUAUCCGGAAAUCGUAAUACACGUGUGAAUACAUAGACCACAAUAUGUUCCUAGUGAGCCUCUAGUUGACUAGCUCGUUGUGAUCAACAGAUAGUCAUGGUUUCCUGGCUAUGGACAUUGGAUGUCGUUGAUAACGGGAUCACAUCAUUAGGAGAAUGAUGUGAUGGACAAGACCCAAUCCUAAGCCUAGCACAAAGAUCGUGUAGUUCGUUUGCUAGAGCUUUGCCAAUGUCAAGUAUCUCUUCCUUUGACCAUGAGAGCGUGUAACUCCUGGAUACCGUAGGAGUGCUUUGGGUGUAUCAAACGUCACAACGUAACUGGGUGACUAUAAAGGUGCACUACAGGUAUCUCCGAAAGUAUCUAUUGUUUUAUGCGGAUCGAGACUGUGAUUUGUCACUCCGUGUAAACGGAGAGGUAUCUCUGGGCCCACUCGGUAGGACAUCAUCAUAUGCGCAAUGUGACCAAGGAGUUGAUCACGGGAUGAUGUGUUACGGAACGAGUAAAGUGACUUGCCGGUAACGAGAUUGAACAAGGUAUUGGAUACCGACGAUCGAAUCUCGGGCAAGUAACACACCGAUAGACAAAGGGAAUUGAAUACGGGAUUGAUUAAGUCCUUGACAUCGUGGUUCAUCCGAUGAGAUCAUCGUGGAACAUGUGGGAGCCAUCAUGGGUAUCCAGAUCCCGCUGUUGGUUAUUGACCGGAGAACGUCUCGGUCAUGUCUGCAUGUCUCCCGAACCCGUAGGGUCUACACACUUAAGGUUCGAUGACGCUAGGGUUAUAAAGGAAGCUUGUAUGUGGUUACCGAAUGUUGUUCGGAGUCCCGGAUGAGAUCCUGGACGUCACGAGGAGUUCCGGAAUGGUCCAGAGGUAAAGAUUUAUAUAUGGGAAGUCCUAUUUUGGCCACCGGAAAAUGUUCGGGAUUUUUCGGUAUUGUACCGGGAAGGUUCUAGAAGGUUCCGGAGUGGGGCCCACCUGCAUGGGGGGACCCACAUGAACUUGGGUAGUGGGGGUAAGGCCCCACACCCCUAGUCAAGGCGCACCAAGAUCCCCCUUAGAAGGAAUAAGAUCAUAUCCCGAAGGGAUAAGAUCAAGAUCCCUAAAAAGGGGGAUAACAAUCGGUGGGGAAGGAAAUGAUGGGAUUUCUUUCGUCCCACCUUGGCCAACGCCCCAAUGGACUUGGAGGGCAAGAAACCAGCCCCUCCACCCCUAUAUAUAGUGGGGAGACGCAUGGGAGCUUCAGACGAAGUUCUGGCGCAGCCCUCCCCCUCUCCCAAGUCGUCCUCCUCUCCCGUGGUGCUUGGCGAAGCCCUGCAGGAUUGCCACGCUCCUCCACCACCACCACGCCGUUGUGCUGCUGCUGGAUGGAGUCUUCCUCAACCUCUCCCUCUCUCCUUGCUGGAUCAAGGCGUGGGAUACGUCACCGGGCUGUACGUGUGUUGAACGCGGAGGUGCCGUGCGUUCGGCACUUGAUCAUCGGUGAUUUGAAUCACGACGAGUACGACUUCAUCAACCCCGUUCACUUGAACGCUUCCGCUUAGCGAUCUACAAGGGUAUGUAGAUGCACUCACUUUCUACUCGUUGCUGGUCUCUCCAUAGAUAGAUCUUGGUGAUACGUAGGAAAUUUUUUGAAUUUCUGCUACGUUCCCCAACAGAUAAUUACCACUCAGGGUUUUUUUUCUCCAUCUAAAACAGCCCGUACCGGUUCCCGUACUGGCCUUGUGGCCUCGCUCCUCUCUCCCUCCUCUCUUCGAUCCCUAUCCACUCCAAAGAAAAGGAAAAUAACCCCAUCGGCACCUGGUUCUUCAUCCACACGCAUCAUUUCGCCAGAUUUGCUGCCGGCGAAGGUAGAUAUCGCUCGUGGGCGGUGGCCAUCAUUGAGAGUCUACCCCCCUCUAAAAUUUCUCUUCCUGGGGCUGGUGGCGCAGGUGGCCGGGUGAGUGCGUGAACGCGUUUGAUGCGGUCUUCAGGGCAGAUGCUCGCCCACCUCAGCGAGUCCGGCGGCGAGGCCAUCAGGAGGUCCGACGGCUAGCGACGGUGGUGGAUGUGCUGGAGGUUGGUGGCGUUGAGGGGGCAGUAAGGAAGCUCACGGAGAAGGGUGUGGAUUUCCUAGAUGAGUUCGUGCAAUGGAUAAUGGUCGGAUCUGAGGAGCGGGGCAGAGACUUGCACUGCGGCUAUGCUUCAUGAGAGCUAUGGGGUUAUGUAGACAAAUGUGAGAUCGUGCCAUAAGCAAAUGACAUCAAGAUCUGAGCACCGUUGCAGACGGCCUCGAGUUAUUUUCCUCUUCAUCUCCUACAAAAUGUAAGUGCGAGCCGAUCAUAUGCAUCCUUCCUAGUGCAGAUUAUUUUUUUAGUUCCUCCAUAUCACUAUGUAAGUCUGUAGUGUUGUACUCCUUAUUUAUGAAAUUUCUCUUCGUACAGGUUGCUUGCAUGGUCAAUUUGGGCAUCGGUUUGUUAAGCAGCAAAAGCUCGCAUGUUGAAUCUACUCAACUCAAGUAUGUUUUCACCAGAAAACUCAAUCGUGUAGUGUAUGGAAUGACAUGUUUAUUUAGUUUCUACUAAUUAGUUUGGAUAACCUCUGAUCAUCCGAUGAAGUAACUGAGAAGAAAUUUUGGUCAUGUUAUUACUUCCCAUUUUUUUAUACCUAUGCAAUUAAUGUUAUUUGUUGCUGGUUUUGCUGUGGCGCCAAGUCUAAAUGAGGGAACCUUGUUUUUAUUCAAAGCAAGAUCCAUGUGUUGACAUAGGAUGGAUUUUGUACAAAAUGCCUAUAAUAUCAAGCUUUUCUAAUAUUCUCUUAACUGAAAAAGGCUGUUGGAUAGAGAGCUAUUAUGAAGAGCAGAAAACUCAUAUAUCAAGUAAUUACAACAUGACAUGCUUCUGGUAGUGCUAACUUCAGCCGUUCAGCGCCUUGUUAUGUAAUACGUGUCCUUAUAUUGGUAGAUGUCAAGUGCUCUUCUCUAUCUCAGUUAUGGUCUGCCUUAGUUUCAGUCUAAGCUAUAUUAAUCAACUAAUUUUGUGGGUAACCUCCUUGUUCGCCUAGGUUUUUUUGGCUACUGUAUCUUCGAACUGACCACUUCCCUUGUAGCAUUUUUCAUCAACACUUCCGGUCUUGUGGCCAUAAACCUCUUUGGUCAUUUUAUGCAAUCUCCUUAUGGCUGCAGUAUCAGUACAUCUUAUUUUGCCACAACUGGCAACUGAGUCUUCAUCUUCAAGCAUUGCAGUUUUUACUUCCGCUUCAACAUGUUUCUUGUUCCCAGCAUACAUCUCUCCUUUCUUGUACACUUAUCUUGGUGUAUUCAUCCUCUGAGCCAUCCGAUAAUAUGAUAGAUCUCUAUCAUUUUCUUUUGUCAUUGCAGAGUCCAUGUGAUGUUUAUGUUUUUUUUCUUCACACCCAUCAUCAUGUACUAUAACCCCAUUAGUAUCGUGUGGUUCUUCUUACAUAGAAACAAAUUGUCAUAUCCUUUUCUGAGGUGAAUCUCUAUUGUUAUUUGUCUGCAAAAUAAAAAUACAUUUCAAAGAUUACACGUGUCUCUAAAAAUUGAGAAGUAGUACUCUGAGAAAAUUAAUCACCCUUUAGCCUCUAUGUUAUGCUUCUUUGUUGCUUUUUUGAACACGGCGUCCACUUCAUCAUGCAAAAUUCUGAGAAUCAUAUGUGAGAUGUAUUAGUUAGGAAAAUACAAACACAAUACUUCUUUUGUAAUGGAUAAAGGCAAAUUUUCCUCCUCGGCUUUAUCUUUCAGGUCCAUCAUCUCAAGCCUAUCAUCACACACAAAUGUUCUUUUUACUGCAUAGUUUUUUGUUCUGAAAGUGAGAUUGCCAUCGCUGAACAUGAGCUGAAAAUAAGUGUUUGUCAACAUUAUUAUUAUGUAAUCUUUGGCGCUUCUUCAUAUUUCUCAUCCAGUGAAUUUAGCAAGUCUGAGACAAAUGUAUUGAACAAUUUUUCGGCCUCACCGUCAAAUAAAGUGCAACUUGUAGUAGUCGUACAGUCAUUAAUUUAUUGUCAAAUACGAUAACUAUCAUACGAUUGUUAUUAGUGUAGAGUAAAUGUAAUAGGAAAGAAGUCUUCUUCAAAUUAGUAGAAUAUGCUUACCGAGGUGAUACAUCAUCUCGAUAUGUAUCACAACUCUCGUAACAGUACUUGUCAACUUCCUUCUUAUCUAGUUUGUGAAAAUCAUCACAUCACAUAUACCAGCUUUGAAUAUGAUCACUUGUAGCUAUUACUGUGAACACAAAAUCCUAAAAUGAUUUCCCAAAAAUUUAGCAUACUGGAGAAAGUGAGAGACAUAAUUAAGUAGAUAUGCACUAUAACUGAUAUUUACUAAGUUGUCAUUGCAGGUGUUGAGAGUCUGGUUUUCCUCAAAAAGUGGCGAUUUCAUAUCUUAGAAGAAGUCUCGCAUUAGUACAAAUUUGAACUAAAACCAUAACACUUAUUUUGGAUCGAGGGAGUAUGAAUUUGGUAUCGAUUCUUGUGUUGAGUUCCUGCACAUUUGGAGCAAAUCGAGUAUAAUAAUUAUCUUAGAUUGGUGAAUAAAGAUGAGUCAAGAUAAAUUAGCUGAGAAAUAAUAAAAGUUGGUCUUUCAUACCUGUCAACAAUUUCCCAAGUUUAUGGUAUAUCUAGAUCUGUAUAGAUUCUUAUGACACUUGACUUUAAGCAUAAUCAUGUUUAAUCAACGUAAAUUCUGUUAGACAUAUUUUUAUAAGGGAGAAGUAUAUUUUUUGUCCCUAAACUCUUUCGAAAGUAUAGAAAUAGUCCUUGAAUUCAAAAACCAGCAAAACUUAGUCCCUCAACUUUUUAAACCGGAUUAGUUUAGUCCUUCAUACCGCUUCGAGUGGUUUCCAUCUAAUGUGGACAUGGUUUUGACCAAAAACUUGAAACGUCACCUAGGCUUGACCGCCACGUCAGUCCAUGUCAUUUUUUUCAAAGCACAGUGCAUGUCACCAAGGGCCCCAGUACUACGAGGCGCGGCGAGUUCGGAUGAGAAGCCGGACAGCGUCGUCCAUGACGGUCAUGCGGCGGAGACAAAGUGCUCGAGCGGCCAGAGGAGCUCGGCGACCCAGGGCGUGGCGUUGGCAGACGAGUUACUUGGCCUCCGUGUUGCACGGGCCGUCGAGCUGCAGCCUGCGCCCAGCGCGACGCCGCUGACCUUUUGGACAGGAGGCCUGAGCAGGAGGAGGAGCUCGAGGCCGCGAGCUCGGACAAGCCCUCCGCGGGCACCUCCACUGACCGCGUUGGCCAUGCAUCCGAUCGUAUGCAGCAGGGUGUAAGGUGCAGUCUAGGGAGCAACACAUCACGUGAGUGUGUAUUCUGGGCGAGAUCGGAUCAGCAUGUUCGUUGUGUUUGGCCUGCAUCUCCUGCGGGCCGAAUCAAUACGUAUGUUCACGUAUACCUACGUGUUUUGCCGGCGGCUAGAAUCAAUCCAGCAGCUAGUCUGCACUUCGUGUUCCUUCCUGGAGCACGCCUGCCUCACAGGAGACCCAAGGUCGCGCCCUGGUGCACCAGCUCAUUGCAGGAGCUCGCGAUCCCUGCUCGCGUGGUGCCCCUCCAUCCAUCCUAGCUAUAGUCAUGUCAAGCCCAACCACAACAUGAAUGAAGAACGGUAAGUCCGUCAGUGCAGACCUUGGUUUUAUGAGGACCCGCGCGAGCGUGUAGACUUGAGCCACCAGCGGUGGCAGCGACACGAGCAAAAGAGCAGCUUUGGGAGCUUCACGCCGUUGACCCUGCCUCCAGCACUCUAACAGACCAAGGGAAUACACAUGCCAUCGUUAAUCAGCCUCAUCAUGGACCACCCGGGCCGACGCGCACCGAGCCGCACCACGCCGGCUGCAGGCGCAGCCGUAUUUGCCCGUUGCACACACUGCCGGGCGCCGUCGACACGCACUGCCCGCUCGCUGAGCAUUAUACCGAGCACCUUUCAUGCACGUGUCCGAGUCAAAAACCACACUGCGUCAGCAGAAAAUCACCCUAAGCAAGACGAGGGAUUAAACUUAUCCGGUUUUGAAAGUUGAGGGACUAAACUUAUCUGGUUUUGAAAGUUGAGGGACUAAGUUUUGCUGGUUUCGGAGUCGAGGGACCAUUGCUAUACUUUCGAAAGAGUUGAAGGACGAAAAAUAUACUUAUCCCUUUCUAUAAUUAAUAGAAGAGCUUGUAACAUUAAUGAACUUACCAUUGAACUUCUGCACCAGUGAUGAUGAAUGGUUGUGCAAUAUGGACUUAAUCUUAUAUUAGAAUUCAAUCUGGCUGAAAUAUGAAGGUUCAGGGUUAUUUCUUUUUAUUAUUGAUUCCACAUGCUCCAUUUGGGUUGGUAGUCCAAUGACGUCUAUAAAAGCGGAGUUAAUUAUUUGAAAGUUUCAUCUAAUUUUUUUCCUUUGUAGCAAACUCGAAGUAGUAAACGGGGUAACCUUCUGAUGAUCCUCUCACCUCCUUUACUUUUUUAAUGUAUGAAAAAUAACUAUAUUUCACUGCUUACUCGAAUAUACUUAUUCCACAAACUUAAAAUUGUUACAUAAAUAGAUUCUCAUUUAUCUUUGUUCUAUAUGUGUCUAUAAAUUAAACUACUUCCCGAUAGUCGCAAGAAUUGUUUGGCCAUGUGAAAACAAUCAAAACAUACUUAGUAGUUGUUGUAGAAAAUAACAGAACAGUUCGCAAGUAAAUAUAUGAUGACUAAACCUUUUCAUCGAUGAAUAUCAUACCGGCAUACUUAGUAGUUAAAACAAACAAUAGAACAAUCUGCUAAUAAAUAUGCAAUGGCUAAACCUUUUCAUCUAUGAAUAUCAUGCCGAGGUUCCAGAGCCAUUUAAUUGUAGGAUUGAUUGAAUUUCAUAUUCUCAUUACUUGCACUUGAAUACAUAGUUUCAUCCUCCUGUUGUGAACUCGCUAUGCUUGUUAUAUGCCAUUGCUGCAAAAGGAUCACAAAAUCGCUAGGGAAUUAUUAAUAAUGCACCUAUGAAGAUUGUAUGCAGAAUAACAAUUACAAACCUUGAUGAUUCAGGUGAGAGGCUACUCAGAAGGUAGAUUGGAUCCAGAAUAACAAUUGCAAACCUUGAUGAUUCAGGUGAGUCACUCAGAAGGUUGCCAUGACUACAUCGGCGUUGCAUAGUUGAAUCGGAAGACUUUGAUUGCCAAGGUAGAUUGGAUCCAGAAUAACAAUUAGAAACCUUUAUGACUCAGGUGAGAAGCCACUCAGAAGGUUGCUUGGGCGUCACUACAUCUGGCUUGGUGACAUUACGUAGUUGAAUUGGAAGACUGAUUUUGUUGGUAGUGUGCUAGCUAGGUAGUAGAUUUGGCUGACUUCAAUUUUUGGGCAUGUGCUGGGUGCGGUUGCAUGUAUGUGUUUUUAUGUGCCGUGUUUGCCUUGGCAAGUCAUGUUUGUAGUCCGUAUACACGUCUUAUUUGCAUGUGUGUCCGAGUUUGAAAAAAAAUGAUGUCCUUAUUUGCUUAGGUUCCUUAUUUAUUUAUUUAUUUAUUUAUUUAGGUUUGACUACUAUUUUUAUCCUAAUUACAAUAUAAUUGUUUUUAUCCUAAUUACACAUGAUGGAACAUGGAUGUGUUGGUCCGUUAUAUGCACGUACACGUUAUAUGAACGUACACGUGACAACACAACUUUUCUCGUUUACGUGUUG
rnacentral:lncRNA from 1 species